rnacentral:misc_RNA from 1 species
GUGUUUAGUUUCUGCCUUGCGGCAAGAUUAUACAACUACAUUCACGUACUCAGGGUUUGUUAAAAAUGGGUUGCCAGACUGCUGCCAGGAGAGCCAAAAGGCAUCUCCCUUAAGCAAUCCGACGGUUCACAGGUGUGUGGAUAAGGUGAAGGGUCGGGGCCCAACGAGUGGGAUCCCCUUUUGUUCACUAAUGAUCCUUCUGCAGGUUCACCUACAGAAA